rnacentral:rRNA from 1 species
UGGGGAAUCUUGCACAAUGGGGGAAACCCUGAUGCAGCGACGCCGCGUGAACGAUGAAGCCCUUCGGGGUGUAAAGUUCUUUCGACAGGAACGAUAAUGACGGUACCUGGAGAAGAAGCUGCGGCUAACUACGUGCCAGCAGCCGCGGUAAUACGUAGGCAGCGAGCGUUGUUCGGAGUUACUGGGCGUAAAGAGUGCGUAGGCGGCGAGCCAAGUUUGGUGUGAAAUCCCCCGGCUUAACCGGGAGGGUGCGCCGAAAACUGGUUGGCUGGAGUAUGGGAGAGGAAAGCGGAAUUCCUGGUGUAGCGGUGAAAUGCGUAGAUAUCAGGAGGAACACCUGCGGUGUAGACAGCUUUCUGGACCAAAACUGACGCUGAGGCACGAAAGCGUGGGUAGCAAACA